UUCUUCUCAAGUUCUUCUUGUCAAGUUCUUCUUCUCAAGUUCUUCUUCUCAAGUUCUUCUUGUCAAGUUCUUCUUCUCAAGUUCUUCUUCUCAAGUUCUUCUUGUCAAGUUCUUCUUCUCAAGUUCUUCUUGUCAAGUUCUUCUUCUCAAGUUCUUCUUCUCAAGUUCUUCUUGUCAAGUUCUUCUUCUCAAGUUCUUCUUGUCAAGUUCUUCUUCUCAAGUUCUUCUUCUCAAGUUCUUCUUCUCAAAUUUAGUCUAUAACUGGAAUCAUGUGUUUAAAUUAAAAUCCUGACUCUAACCCUUGUGAUGUUAUUUGCGGAUAGUAAUAUGGAAAUUAAAAUCCUGACUCUAACGUGUUAUCGCCUUGUGAUGUUAUUUGCGG